AAUCCGUAGCAAAUAAGGGGGAGAAAUAUAGAGGGGCAUCAUUGUCUUUUAGACGAUUUCCGGGUUCUCCUCGAAGACUAUGUCUUCCGGAGCAGCGUUAGCGUAUCCCUUCCACGCAAGAUUUUUACAUUCAUUAGCUCCGAUUGGGCACUAGCAAGGUAGCAGUCAAGAGAAACGCUUGUGCUCUUUUUAACCCUGGAUACUUAAAUGUGUGGAAUGCAUGCAUUUGGAGGCGUUUUCUAACAAUUUUAGAAAUUAACCCACCAGAUGCAAAUUUCAAGCCUCCCCAUGUUGGGAAAACUGAAGUUAGGAGAGAGGAGCUCGUGCCUGAUGGCAAUCUAGCCCAAUGUCAGUAUUGCAAGUUCUUAGUCGGGUUAAGGCUAAGACACAUUUACAACAACCUUGUAAUGUAGUCGAGUGGUUUGGAUUAUUUUCCAGCCAAAUAUACUACGUACAAAACACUCCCCAGAUUGCAGCAAAGCCAGGAUACUUAAAUGGACGACUUAGACCUCCCAGGCAGCCCCAACCCAGCACUCAAUUGCAGGUAGAAGCUUUCAGCUUAUUUAACUUGCAUGCAAUUACGUCUAAAAAACUACCCACCACCUCUUAACAAUUUUACACGAUGUAAAAUUUACAUUACAAGGAGCAGGACAUCCUGGUUGGUUGGUUGGUUGGUUGGUUUGUAGCUGUGCUGGUCCAAUCAUUGUUGUCCUAAAAUUCGGCUCCUUUUUAAGGGCAUUUAUAAUUAUAAUGGGAAAGAGGAAGAAAAGAACAGUGGGCUGGCUUCAACUAAGUUCUACUUAGAGUAGGUCCCUUAAAAUUGAUGGACCUAAUUAGUCAUCUCCAUUAAUUUCAAUGAGUAUAAACUAUACGGUAUAAACCAUACAGUAUAAACCAUACAGUAUAAACCAUACAGUAUACAGUAUAAAUCACAUAUUACAAAUAAGAUAUGGAUUAAAGUAAAGGUAAAGGGACCCCUGACCAUUAGGUUCAGUCGUGACUGACUCUGGGGUUGCGGCGCUCAUCUCACUUUAUUGGCCGAGGGAGCCGGCGUACAGCUUCCGGGUCAUGUGGCCAGCAUGACUAACCCGCUUUUGGCGAACCAGAGCAGCGCACGGAAAUGCUGUUUACCCUUCCGCCGGAGCGGUACCUAUUUAUUUACUUGCACUUUGACGUGCUUUUGAACUGCUAGGUUGGCAGGAGCAGGGACUGAGCAACGGGAGCUCACCCCGUUGCGGGGAUUCAAACCGCCGACCUUCUGAUCGGCAAGUCCUAGGCUCUGUGGUUUAACCCACAGUGCCACCCAUGUCCCUUAAGAUAUGGAUUAGAUUAAUAUUAAUGCUACUUGUUUUCAUCAUUCUGGGGACAGAAGUGAGAGACCUUGCUUGCUUUCUGGAAUUUUUAAGUCAUCUGGUAUGGAGAUAGGUGGUUAUUGAACUGAAUAAGACCUCUUCCUUUUUACAGGAAACAAGAGAAGUGGGUGCAACAUGUGACACAAUUUUAAGUGGCCCUUUGACUUCGCCUUUGACAUCUCCUGGUUGCUUUUUGUCCUAUUUUACCCAGUACUAAAUCUCUCCACCCUUUGAUGUGUGACGUAAUAAGGGCAGCCGCAGUGGUGUGAUAAUUGCAGGCUAUGUCCUGCUUUGAACCUAUGUUUUUCUGCUAUGACCCUUGCCCAUUCCUACCCCCGCUGCUCUCCUGCAAUAGCUGCUUCCAUGCCCUGUUCAUUCUCAGGCCUCCAGCAAACAAAACCUGUCUGAGGCACUAAUUGGGCAUUAGCACUAGUUCCUUUUCUAGCCUACUUCCGCCCUCAUUGCUGCCAAACUCAUAGAAAGAAGACGCCUGGCUUACACACUCUGCAGAUGCUGGUGUGAGAAAGAAGAAAACCCAAACGGUGCUGGCUCCAGCAUUUUUGGUGGGGAGUGGGGACUCCGGCACUACACCCUCAGGCGGCCUCCCAAUCUGGAAGAGGAAAGAAUCCUGUCCUCUGGUACUCUGAUGGCACUCUAUCAAUUAUAUAACCAUCACCUUUCUUGGAUUCUUUAUAUACCGGUAAAAUGAGUUGGGGUGGUGGGCCCUCUGCUGGUUGUGGAAUCUUGACAAAUGCCCAGCCUUGCUAUUCUUUGGAACAAGCGCUACAGAAAAAAUCCAAGCAUGUUUUGGGGUAAGAUGGAGGCUCCUAUAAUAAGGGAUGGCUUUGGAAAAUGAGUGAGGUCCCAACUAAAGAAUGGCAACUUAAACUGAUGGAAUAUGCGCAGCUUGCAGACCUAACAUAUAGAAUAAGAGAACAAGAAGAACAUCAAGAAGAUUGGAAAAUGUUUAUUGAAUAUAUUGGGGGGAGGAAUUGUGCACACUUGAAAAUGUUGGCAGCAUUAAGAUAAAUUCAACAGUGUAAGCAAGUUUUGAUGGGUGUAUUAAUGGAAUACUGAAUGGUUUAGCUUAUGUAAAAUAUGCAGGGGUUUAUGAUAUGCAAAAUGAACCAUGGAAAGAGAAGAAGGGAAGUCAUUUUAAGGUUGUUUAAAUGAAUAUUCUAAAGUGUAAAACUGUGUUUGUGUUUGUGUGUGUGUGCCGAUGUGUGAGUAUAAUUCUUUCAUACUCUCUGCAAUGGCAAAUAAACCAGCUAGCUUAACCCUUCCUAGAGCCUUCACUUCUGCCACCAAGUGAAUGCCUUUAUUUUUACUGGCUGCUUCCACUAAAACAAUAAUUUAAUCCUUGUAACUUGUAAUCUUGGAUUGCCUCUGGCCUCAAAACUGAAUCUGAGCACCCUUCCCCUGAUAUGACUGGGCUCUGUUCCCAAGCUGCCCGGAGCCAGUGCGCAAAUCAUUCUUGCCUUCCCAAGGUAAAUGAUAGAACUGCCUUUGUGCCUGGCCCCAUCCCAUUCAGUAUGGACCGCCAGGGGAAUCAAACACACAAGAAUCUUUGUCUUGUAUAGCACGCCUGACCUACAUUCCUGAGUGAAGGCUCUUCGUUUCCACAGCUCAACAGGCUAAGAAUCCAGAGGCAUGAAGAAAACCUCAAGCAAAAUCUCAGAGUGAAAUGGAACAUUAAGAUCUUAAUGGGGUUGCGUUUGUGGGUGGUAAAGAUCAGUGUUGCAGGCUUGGCUAGUUCUCCCAAACAUGCUGUAUCUUUUCCUUGGGCUUCUGUUAUCCUCCUGGCUUUUGGCCAGUGUUUCCCCUGCCUGCCCCAAAACGCUCAAAAGUGGUUAAACCCUAAAGCAUGUUCUUUGCUCUAUAGCAUUAGGAUAAACAUCCCCAUGCAAUUAAUAAAAAUGUACAAG